UCAUAUACCGCUCAAAUAAUAAAAAAAAGUAUCAUUUAGAUAAACUGGACUCAUAGCAGUUACAGUUACGUUUGUUUAUCACCAGCUUUAUUACAAAUGCCGAUGGAAACUGCCUCGGUGCGUGGUGCAACAAUGAACAAAGAAGUUUGUGUUUUUUUAAUUCACAACUUUUAUGUUGUACAUAGUAUAUUAGAUUUUUUUUUGUGUAUGCCGACGUUUUAAAAGUCAAUAUUUAAUUUCUCAUUCGAAAGUGCGUUUACUUGGGGGGGACAGGUCUACAGAGGGUUAGCUACUGCUCAGCUAGCAUCUUUAACUCCGACAAACAGUAUUUGCACAGUCAAAGUUCCGAGCUGCGAACUGAACCAUUCUGCUGUUUUUAUUUUUGUAAAAUCAGAAUAAUUUUAUUUAAAUAUUUCAUUGUAAACUUAUUUUAUUUUUCGUCCUCUCAAUCACUUCCUCAAUAAUAAACAACAUAUUCAGUAGAAUUCAACUUUUUAGUUAACUUAAAAAAAUGUGUAUAAAAAAUGUAAUUGAUUUAAAAAAGUUUAAAAACUGGCUAGCAACCGUCAGUAAUCGGAGAAGGUGAAUGCAGAGUUGUGGUGCUGCUACGCCGCGCUUGCUAGCUAGCUAGCAGGAAGGCGGUCGUGGUCGUACAGGUCUAUGUUUACAUAUUUUUAAAAUAGUAUUUUUUGUUUAACUUUUAUUGUUGUUUUUUUGUGAGUCUCUUUUCUUUAGUGUUUUAAGGACAGAUAUUUUCAUGAUGCUAUGUCACAGACACCAGGCAAAGGAAUCAGAUUGUUUGAAUCAACUGGAUCACUGAUCUCCAGAGGUUCCGCUCACGGUUCACAUGCACGUUUCUAACCCGGGGAGGAACAAAGUUGAGCAGCUCGUGGAUGGAAACUGAGGACGGUCUUCACCUGAACGUCGCCGGCGGAUUUAGCUUCUACGUGACGAUGGAAAGUCCAACUACAUGGCACUAAGUGAGUAAAUCAAAGAUGGUGGAUCCGGAGAGUUUGUGCCGAGCGUCCACAACUCCCCCGGAAUAUCCACGCGGGAACGAAGGACUAGAGCAAAACAAGAAAGUACUUCACUAAACAUUGAUCCAACUGAAGGUUUCACCACAAAACAAGUCGUUAAAUGACUCGAUAAAUACUGCAGGUCAAUAGUAAAUCAUGGCUUCUUUGAAAAUCCUCCCCCAAAAAAAAAAACAGAAGCAGGAACUAGUUUUUCGACGACGCUUCAUAAGGCACUACUGGAGGCGACUCCCGUGAUUCCAGAGGCGUCGACUGCCACGACUCGUGUCGACUUGUGUGUGAUUGUGUCCGUCACGGCGUUAGGCUCGGCGGCCGUCCGAGUCGUCAUUUUCCCUCAGAUUUUCACGGCCUCGGUCCCAUACACGUUGUAGCCUUCGCGGUAGGUGGCGAAAUUCUGGCUGUUGGCGGGCGGCGCCGGCUUAAAGUUCUGGGCGUUCUUGGCCAGCUUGAGCUUUUUGGUUUCCUGCCGUGACUUGUAGCAGAACUCGAUCAAGGCCACGGUCAUGGCCAGGCCGAGUCCCCCCACCAGAAUGUAAAAGACUCCGGCCACGUUGCUGAGACUCAGCGCGCUUGUCUUGUCCUGGGGGAGGCAGAGACCACCGUUAAGGGGGCAGAGUCAAGCCUGCACUGCUACACAUCCUGCUAGCUAUCAGGCUACGCUAGGACAUUCAGGCCAACUCGCUAGCAACCGUCAGUAAUCGGAGAAGGUGAAUGCAGAGUUGUGGUGCUGCUACGCCGCGCUCGCUAGCUAGCUAGCAGGAAGGCGGUCGUGGUCGUACAGGUCUACAGAGGGUUAGCUACUGCUCAGCUAGCAUCUUUAACUCCGACAAACAGUAUUUGCACAGUCAAAGUUCCGAGCUGCGAACUGAACCAUUCUGCUGCUGCUCAAAGCCAAACGAUGACAUUGAAAUUAAUUUAUGUGAGUUUCAGCAUUUGUACGGCGCAGAACGUCUCAGCAUCCUGACGGGCAGACAAGCUCUGAUUUGGUCCCUCAGUCAUUCUGAUUAAACUGACAUCGAUUACAAGUCCAGAUGAACGAAACUGACAUUUUCCUCACUCCGUUUUCUACAUUCACUAAAAACUCUGAUUUGGUCCCAACACAUACUACUACAAAUACUGGUGCUACUACUGCCAUGACUAUUAAUAACAAUGAUAAUAAUAAAAUGAUACUAAUAAGAAGUAACUAGUACUGCUACUGCUUAUAAAAAAUUAAAAUAAUAAAAAAAACAAUAAAAAUAAAAUAUAAAAAA